rnacentral:rRNA from 1 species
CCUACGGGUGGCUGCAGUGGGGAAUAUUGGACAAUGGGCGCAAGCCUGAUCCAGCCAUACCGCGUGGGUGAAGAAGGCCUUCGGGUUGUAAAGCCCUUUUGUUGGGAAAGAAAUCCAGCUGGCUAAUACCCGGUUGGGAUGACGGUACCCAAAGAAUAAGCACCGGCUAACUUCGUGCCAGCAGCCGCGGUAAUACGAAGGGUGCAAGCGUUGCUCGGAAUUACUGGGGGUGGAGCGUUCGGAGGUGGUCGAAAGCCCUGGGCUCAACCUGGGAACUGCAGUGGAUACUGGACGACUAGAGUGUGGUAGAGGGUAGCGGAAUUCCUGGUGUAGCAGUGAAAUGCGUAGAGAUCAGGAGGAACAUCCAUGGCGAAGGCAGCUACCUGGACCAACACUGACACUGAGGCACGAAAGCGUGGGGAGCAAACAGGAUUAGAUACCCCAGUAGUC